UUAGAUCGAGGGAAGUCUAAAAUAGUUGAAUAGUCGACUCGUUUUCGUCCGAAAUUCGUAUGAGUUACUGUAGUUACUAAAGGCUCGGGGAUAGUCGAGGAUUGUCACCAUACUAUCGAACUCAUUUUGGUAUUUUUGAAAGUGUAAAUAUUUUGAAGUAUGGCAUGUAUAGGAUAGAAUGUCUAUGUAUUUAAGCUUUGAUAUGUAUAUAUAUGUUAUGCCAUGAGAGUUGGCUAACAAAUGGUAUGUUUGUGCUUAGUUUUGGUGAAUGGUUUGUGAUGCUAAAUUGUGUAUGCUUGUAAUGGUUAUAUGGCGUUAUAUGUGGUGAUCA